rnacentral:tmRNA from 2 species
GGGGACGCGUGGUUUCGACAAGGGAGGAUCCGGGUAUGACAGCAGGUCGAGGUGCCGUCCACCUCGUUAAUCAGGCGGCAAAAACAUAACUGGCAAACAGCCAAAACUCGCUCUCGCCGCUUAAAUAGGCAGUGCCGUCUAAGGUCAUCUGCCUCUGAGGGUGGCUUUGGGCGAUGAUUUUUUCAGAGUGCUGCCCAUUGGACACCGAUACAAUGGGCUUAAGACCAUCGGCUGGUUGAGAUGAAAUGUGUUGGCACAGUUCAUCUCAAUGAGAAUUAAACGCCAACUAAACCUGUAGCGGUUAUAUCAGGGAUUCCUUUGGACGGGGAGUUCGACUCUCCCCCGUCUCCACCA